GAUUUCUUCCAUUUUAAGUUUUAUGCCUUUCCUCACAGAUAGGGCCCUACCAAUUUCACGGCCAUGAAAAAUACAUCAUGCACCAUGAAAUCUGGUCUCUCCCAGUGAAAUAUGGUCUUUUAGAUGCUUGUACCCUAUAUUAUAUAGAUUUCAUGGGGGAGACCAUUGUUUCUCAAAUUGGGGGUCCUGCC